GACAGAGGUGCCGAGCGUUAGGCGGAAUCACUGGGCUUAAAGCGUGUGUAGGCGGGUCGUUAAGUGCCUUGUGAAAUCCCACGGCUCAACCGUGGAACUGCUGGGCAUACUGCCGAUCUUGAGCCAGCUAGGGGCAACCGGAACAAACGGUGGAGCGGUGAAAUGCGUAGAUAUCGUUUGGAACGCCAAUGGUGAAAACAGGUUGCUGGGGCUGUGCUGACGCUGAGACACGAAAGCCGGGGGAGCGAACGGG
rnacentral:rRNA from 1 species